rnacentral:rRNA from 1 species
UACGUAGGUGGCGAGCGUUGUCCGGAUUUAUUGGGCGUAAAGCGCGCGCAGGCGGUUGUCUAAGUCUGCUGUGAAAUCUCCCGGCUCAACUGGGAGGGGGCGGCGGAGACUGGGCGACUGGAGGGACCUAGAGGCCGGUGGAAUUCCCGGUGUAGUGGUGAAAUGCGUAGAGAUCGGGAGGAAUACCAGAGGCGAAGGCGGCGGACUGGACAGUCACUGACACUCAACUACGAAAGCGUGGGUAGCAAACAGG